rnacentral:rRNA from 1 species
CACGGGGGGAGCAAGCGUUGUUCGGAAUCACUGGGCGUAAAGGGCGUGUAGGCGGUCAAGUAAGUGGCAUGUGAAACGCCUCGGCUUACCCGAGGACCUGCAUCCCAAACUGCUUGGCUUGAGUAUGGGAGAGGAUGAGGGAAUUCCUGGUGUAGCGGUGAAAUGCGUAGAUAUCAGGAGGAACACCGGUGGCGAAAGCGCUCAUCUGGCCCAAUACUGACGCUGAGGCGCGAAAGCUAGGGGAGCAAACGGG